rnacentral:lncRNA from 1 species
GUUACUCUGUCUUUGAAAACUAGUAUUGUUUGUACAUGACCUAGAACUAUUGGUUUUAGCAUGAGGGGCAGCCAGCUUGACCAGAUACUCCUUGUCUUCUGAUAUCCUCACAACACCAGCUUUUGUAGCCACUUUCCUCACAAGCCCUGAAGAAGGAAAAUCUUUUGUGGGUUGCCAAGAGGUUUUGACUAUUCAGACUCAAAACUGACAUGAAGUCUGAAAAAACCACGCCCCAAAUUCUGACACCUUUAUCAAACAUUCUUGUCAUGAUGUGUUUUUAAACUCUCAAGGUUUUCUCCACCUCAGUGGUGUAUUCUUCCUUUACCCUUUUCAAUUAAAUAAAGACUUUC